UGGGGAAUAUUGCGCAAUGGAGGAAACUCUGACGCAGCAACGCCGCGUGUGUGAAGAAGGUUUUCGGAUCGUAAAGCACUGUUGAGUGGGAAGAGACGGGUGUAGUUAAUACCUGCACCCCCGACGGUACCACUCGAGGAAGCACCGGCUAACUCCGUGCCAGCAGCCGCGGCAAUACGGAGGGUGCAAGCGUUGUUCGGAAUUAUUGGGCGUAAAGGGCGCGUAGGCGGGCCAUUAAGUCUGAUGUGAAAUCCCUCGGCUCAACCGAGGACGUGCAUUGGAAACUGAUGGUCUUGAGUCCUGGAGAGGAAGGCGGAAUUCCCAGUGUAGAGGUGAAAUUCGUAGAUAUUGGGAGGAACACCAGUGGCGAAGGCGGCCUUCUGGACAGUGACUGACGCUGAGGCGCGAAAGCGUGGGUAGCAAACAGG
rnacentral:rRNA from 1 species